UCCUAGUACGAGAGGACCGGAGUGGACGCAUCACUGGUGUUCGGGUUGUCAUGCCAAUGGCACUGCCCGGUAGCUAAAUGCGGAAGAGAUAAGUGCUGAAAGCAUCUAAGCACGAAACUUGCCCCGAGAUGAGUUCUCCCUGACCCUUUAAGGGUCCUGAAGGAACGUUGAAGACGACGACGUUGAUAGGCCGGGUGUGUAAGCGCAGCGAUGCGUUGAGCUAACCGGUACUAAUGAACCGUGAGGCUUAACCUUACAACGCCGAAG
rnacentral:rRNA from 3 species